rnacentral:rRNA from 1 species
GACGAACGCUGGCGGCGCGCCUAACACAUGCAAGUCGAACGAGCAAAGAGGAGCUUGCUUCUCUGAGCGAGUGGCGAACGGGUGAGUAACGCGUGAGGAACCUGCCUCAAAGAGGGGGACAACAGUUGGAAACGACUGCUAAUACCGCAUAAGCCCACGGGUCGGCAUCGACCAGAGGGAAAAGGAGCAAUCCGCUUUGAGAUGGCCUCGCGUCCGAUUAGCUAGUUGGUGAGGUAAUGGCCCACCAAGGCGACGAUCGGUAGCCGGACUGAGAGGUUGAACGGCCACAUUGGGACUGAGACACGGCCCAGACUCCUACGGGAGGCAGCAGUGGGGAAUAUUGCACAAUGGGGGGAAACCCUGAUGCAGCGACGCCGCGUGGAGGAAGAAGGUCUUCGGAUUGUAAACUCCUGUUGUUGAGGAAGAUAAUGACGGUACUCAACAAGGAAGUGACGGCUAACUACGUG